rnacentral:lncRNA from 1 species
UUUUUUUUUUUUUUCCUAUUACAAUAAAUUUUUGCCAAGCGCUGUGGCUCACGCCUUUAAUCCCAGCACUUUGGGAAGCUGAGCAGGGCGGAUCACCUGAGUACAGGAGUUCGAGACCAGUCUGGCCAAUAUGGGUGAAACCCUGUCUCGAUUAAAAAUAACACAAAUUAGCUAGGCAUGGUGGUGGCGCCUGUAAUCCCAGCUACUUGGGAGGCUGAGGCAGGAGAAUCGCUUGAAUCUGGGAGGAGGAGGUUGCAGUGAGCCGAGACUGUGCUACUGCGCUUCAGACUGGGUGACAGAGUGAGACUCCAUUUCAAAAAAACAAAAAUAACAAAAAAUAAAUUCCUGAGAAAGAAAAUAGUUUCUUUUUUUAAUAUAUUUUUUCUGUUUUUUUUUUUUUUAACUUCUUUCCUAAUUACUUACAAGGAAAGAAAAGAAGGCAGCCCUCCCUCUCAAUCUCUUAGUUCUUUUGCUUAGAAGACAAAAGAUCCUUCAGAAUUAGAGAGGAAGAGGGGAAAAGGGAAAAAAAAAAGAUUCCAGUUAAAAAUCUUAAAAAUCUUCAUCAGGGUCAAAAACCUGACAGAAAAGCUUUGUUUGAAGGGAAUGUGAAAGGGGAGGAGGAGGGAACUGGCAACCGGCAACUCUCAACCUCAAAAGGCAAAUAUCUUGAGAGUUGAAGGAAAUCUGGAGAUAGUGAACACUCCCAUUGAAGUAGUGGAAUAACUUUGAUUUCCUUUUUAGCCAGAGAGUCUUGUCCUUUUGAGGCUGGUGGAAUAUGCUGAGAGGAAGAAUUGGGGGGGUGGGAAGCAUGGGGAAGCAGGAAACUGCCAUUUUAAUUUCACCCUGGGUCAGAAUGGUCAGGAGUUAGGAUGACUGCAAAGAAGCUGUAGGCCUGAAGCCUCAGGCCUUGGUGUGCCAGCAUCUCAGGUCCCAGCCUAAUAUUUCCCAGAAAGGGAACCAAGCAGAGAGUAGGCAGAGUCAGGGUGCAGGGGAAGGGCCAUGGGAACUGAUGUAAAGAGCUGGUGAUGGUGAAGCUGGUGAAGCCCCAGGAGAGACCUGUGGGAAGGUAGGAGGCAGCUGGCAGCAUAGCCAUGGAGCCAGGAGACAUCAGAGUGUGAGAUGGUGCCAACCUGGGAAUGCAGUGUGGCGUGUAGGGAAGCAAGGUUCUAACUGGUCAGCUGCUCUAGGACUUUGAGCAGAAAAGACUCAGAGAUGUCCCUUGAUUGAAGGAAGGGUGAAAGCAAAAAGUAGCAUGAAGCAUUAUUGAAAGGGUGUCAAGAAUGGGACUGCUAGAAUGAGGAAGAAAACAUAAAACUGGAAACCCAGACAAGGAGGAACCCUGGAAAAAGAGGGGAAGGGGAAAGAGGAGGCCUCCUUCCCUGGAGGCCAUCUGAUGAGGGUCG